rnacentral:rRNA from 1 species
UGUUAGCUUCGUAGUGACCUGCGGAGGUCAUUACCGAGUGCGGGUUCUAACGAGCCCAACCUCCCACCCGUGUUUACUGUUACCGCGUUGCCUCGGCGGGCCCACUGGGGCCUGGCCCCGGUCGCCGGGGGGCUUCUGCCCCCGGGCCCGCGCCCGCCGAGGCACCCUAGAACCCUGCCUGAAUAGUGAGUCUGAGUGAGAUAUUAAAUCAUUAAAACUUUCAACAACGGAUCUCUUGGUUCCGGCAUCGAUGAAGAACGCAGCGAAAUGCGAUAAGUAAUGUGAAUUGCAGAAUUCCGUGAAUCAUCGAAUCUUUGAACGCACAUUGCGCCCCCUGGCAUUCCGGGGGGCAUGCCUGUCCGAGCGUCAUUUCUGCCCUCCAGCGCGGCUGGGUGUUGGGCGCUGUCCCCCUGGGGACACGCCCCAAAAGCAGUGGCGGCGCCGCGUCGGGUCCUCGAGCGUAUGGGGCUUUGUCACCCGCUCGGGAGGGACUCGGUCGGCGCUGGUCUUCCUUCAGGCGACCCUUCGGGGUUCGCCUCUUCCGGUUGACCUCGGAUCAGGUAGGGCUACCCGCUGAACUUAAGCAUAUCAAA